rfam:Novosphingobium pentaromativorans TS6-1 contig00037, whole genome shotgun sequence.
UCUGCGGGCCGGGCCCCUCUGGCGCGGCGCAGGCUGAUGUGGAAGGCAGUUUCCUCCACAUCGCAGGCGCCACGUGAUGUCGGACCGCAUCG